AGGAAAGGAGAGCUGUUUUGAGAGAGUAAUCCAGAGGUUCGGGAGGAAAGUUGUUUACGUUGUCGUGGGAGACGGAGUGGAAGAGGAGCAAGGCUCAAAAAAGCACAACAUGCCCUUCUGGAGGAUCUCCAGCCACUCUGACCUCAUGGCUCUCCACCAUGCUCUGGACCUGGAGUACUUGUAGCACCUCCACCUCUGCCCAGCUCCAGCUUCCACUAACUUUGCGACCUUUCACCUCCGGCCCUUGGAACCCUAGACCCCUGUCCCACGCCAACCGCAGCCCCCGCAGCCCAGAGAAGGCCCCCCUGUGUCGCCUGGCGUCUGCCCUCCACCAGACAGGAAGAAAAGAAGAACAAGAGAAGAGAAGAAAAAAGAAAGAAACUGAGUGACACGGUCAAUGUGUUGACAUACGGCCACAAUUCGUCUUAACCCUAAACCUUUUUUUCGGAGGGAAGCGGAGGAGAGUGAAUUUAUGGCGCUGCAGCUGCUAGCCCUGGUUACUGUGAAUUGGCUGCUUUCUGAAGCCGUCAAAGUGUUUUACGGCCCUGUAUGUGCCGGGACUCUGCAAGGGUUCACACCUGUGAGGAGAGCAGAGCUACUGACGCCCAAGGCUCAGCAAAACCACAGAAGAGGACUGCUAUCAUCCCUAUCUCUCUCUCUCUCUCUCUCUCUCUCUCUCUCUCUCUCUCUCUCUCUCUCUCUCUCUCUCUCUCUCUCUCUCUCUCUCUCUCUCUCUCUCUCUGUCUCUCUCCUCUCUCUCUCUCUCUCUCUCUCUCUCUCAGUCCCACCUCUACAGUGCAUGGCCGUCCUCCUCUGCUCCCUCCUGGCCUGGCCGCCUGUGCUUUUUAUUUAUGAAUGGAGACUUUGUGAGUGGCUCUGUCUGUCCCCAGGAAGGUACCUCCAGGAAAGACUUGUGCCUUGCUCACCUGACAAAGUACUUUGAUUUCCACCACACCAAGAGGACGAGGAAGGCUCUUAUGGAAGAAUCAAAACAUGGGUUUUCUAAUAAUUUAAGAAAAUUAAGAAACUUUAUUUACUAUGCUGAGGCAAUCGUGUACAGAGGAAAUCUUUUUGUGUGUAAAUUUGUAAUCACUGGACUAUUCCUUCCUAUAUUCAUUUAGGUACAUGCUCUUGAAAGAUGGCAAUGCUUUUUCAUUGAAGUAAAAAAAAAAAAAAAGCAUCGUGUAGCACAUUAGCUUGUGCGGUGCCCGAAAGUGUUGAUGUGUUUAAGGUUUUGUUCAUUAAACAAAUAUGUAGAUAAAGGGAUUUUGUGAUAACUCGUUAUGUUAAGACCAAAAGCAUGGAUGUCAAGUGUCAAUGAUCAUUUCAUUUUGUUCAGCUGUGUUUUCCCCGUCAGUAUCCCAACUCCAUACUCCCAGAAAAAAAAGGCAUUCUGACAUCUCACGUAUCUUAAGACAAAAGCUCUCCUCUGAAUCACCACUUUUUUAGAUACAUAUUUGAUAGGGGAUAAUGUUUCGCUUUUCCUUUUUACUUAUUCAGAGAAGUCGCUCAAUCUUGUGCCCCUAAGGCACCUCGGCUGGCAGCCCAAACCCUAUGUAUUUGGAAGCUAGCAUAUUCAGCCACGAUAUCGUAUAACUUGGAUAAGGGUUUCUAACCUGGCAUUGAACUGAGUGAUAAUUGUUAAAACUUUCCCUCUCAUUGUUCUUGCCUAAUCAGAGCCAUUUUGACAAUUUCAAUAAAUUUAGGAGGUCAUCUUUCAGGAAAAAGCUUAAUUAAUAGGUUUUAUUAUCUUUUAUACAAGCGCUAUAAAAAAAACUAUUGUACAGCAAGCGUCAUUUUGUAUAAAGUAGUGUUUUUAUUUUGACAAAAAAUUGUGUUCUUCUGUGUCUCACUUUGAACGGCAGUAGUUAAAAAUCAUGACACCUGUUUUGAUAGGGCUGUGGAACUGGGGAUUGGGAAACCAUAUGAAGCUUUUGAAGAUUGAGAGAAAAGCCACUAACCGCCCCCUGAAGAAAGGGGUUUAAGAACAGGACAGUACUAUAUGCUAUAGACUGUGAAUUUCUUAAGCAGGAACCGACUCGAUCUGUUUCUAAUUCCCCAUCCUCUGCACAUGGUCACUGUUGCUCUGGACGUAACCGUGGUGACCCCUCUCUCCCUCCCCAGGCAGACUUUCUCACUAGGUUUGUGAUUUCCCUCGUCUCAGCCCCCCCCUCCCUCUCCUCUCUCUCUACUCUGGGGAUCUCCAUAUUGCUGCUAGGAUCAAGGUAACCGUAUAGGUAGGUAGACAAGGAAAUGUUUUAUAGAUUCACACAGCACGCUUUUUUUAUUAUGUUGCAAUCAUAAAUGCAAACUGGAAAUACUUUACACCAAGCGGGCCGCAUUGUGAAACGCAAAGUUUGUUGUGUCUGCAAAAAGAUGUGUACAGAUGUUUUUGACAUUAUUAUUUGAUUGUGUUUAAAUUAAUAAAAAAUAAUUUGUGA